rnacentral:lncRNA from 10 species
CUUAUCAGAAGGUAAUGGAGUAAGUGGCUUCACACCAAUGCUUAAACGAUAAAGAUGUGGUCCUGUGUCCGGAAUUGGUGGGUUCUUGGUCUCACUGACUUCAAGAAUGAAGCCGUGGACCCUCGCAGUGAGUGUUACAGUUCUUAAAGGCGGCGUGUCUGGAGUUUGUUCCUUCUGAGGUUCGGAUGUGUUCAGAGUUUCUUCCUUCUGAUAACUACUGAAGGAAAAAUUCAAGCUUUCAGUGUUGCCAGCCGAACUCUUUUCUAUGAGAUUCUUUGUUCUCUUAUUAACCCAAAGCGCAAGGACACUAGGGGAUUCAGUCACUUUGCUGAAGUGACUGAGAAUUUUGCCUUUUCUCUGCUGACUAAUGUUACUUGCGGCUCUCCUGGUGAAAA